GGAACGCGAAGGCACGGGAAAAUUCAAGGCCAUUCCGCUCUGCGAAGGUGCAUGACCAGCGGUGAUGUAAACACCGUGGUAAGAAAACUUGUGGUAAAGACUUUAUUGCAUCACUCAUUGUCACUUAUAGUAACGAUGGUCACAAUGGAUUUGUAGUCACUUUGAUAUACACUGAUCGGCAUACUCGUAACUGCAGACACAUUCUUUGAUAAUGUCAAAUCGAUGCACUUUUUGGAGUCUCUCAUACCC
rnacentral:lncRNA from 1 species